UCUCUAGAACCUCAGCAGGAGAUCAUUUUAAAAGAAAAGGUGAAAGGAGAAGACAGGUCCUAAUGUAUUUCUCCCUUCAUCUCUACUCAUGAUAUUAAUAAUACCUGAAGGACAAGGAAAUUAACAGUGAACUAGGUGAUAGAUCCUGGCUGAAAGAAUUCUAGCCAGUAAGACUGCUAAAGCAUGUGUUUAUUAUGGGAUUGGCUACAAGGAUUGUCUUUGGUGGGAGAUCUAAGGCGCAAUUGACCUGGGAGCACCUUUCUUCUGAGGAUCCCAGAAUGCUUGGCACAUGUUCAGGAAGCCUUGCUGUGUCCCCAGGAAGAAGCUAAUAUUUCCAUGUGACAGAUGGGGAACCUGAAGCACAAACUGGGGAAAUACUUUGUCCAAGAUUUCAUGAACCUUGAGUUCUCGGCUGCCCGUGUUAUCACCAGCUUCAAAGACUCCAAAACCUCUGGAAAAGCCG